UCUGUGUCCACAUCUGUGUGUAUCAGUGUGUGAAGCCGCGUAGCGGCUGAACGACCGAAGCCCUCGUCAAUGUCAGCAGUAACUAUAACUGUUCUAAGGUAGCGCAAUUCCUUUUCGGGUAAGUUCCGAAGCGCACGAAAGGCGUAACGACUGGGGAACUGUCUCAACGAAGAGCUCGGUGAAAAUGCGAUUCCCGUGAAGACGCGGGAUACCUCUAACGGGACGAAAAGACCCCGGGAGCUUUACUGUAGCUUGAUAUUGUUUUUAAAAUUUAGAUGCGUAGCGUAGUGGGGAGGCUUUGAAUCCGUCAUUUCGGUGGCGGAGGAGCCAUCAAUGAAACACCCAUCUUUUAAAUUUUAAAGACUAAUCUGCGUGGCAAAAAUACGCGGAGACAGUGUCUGGCGGGCAGUUUUUCUGGGGCGGAACUCUCCUAAAAAGUAACGGAGAGGUCUAUUAAGGUCGGCUUAGACCGGAUGGAAAUCGGUCUGGACGUAUAAAGGCAAAAGCCGGCUUAACGGCAAGGCUGACAAGCCGCGCCGGUGCGAAAGCAGAGCUUAAUGACCCGACGGUCCUUUAUAGAAAGGCCGGAGACAACGGAUAAAAGCUACCCCGGGGAUAGAGCCUGAAACAAGGCUUUGUUGUCCAACUCCGUAGUAAUGCGGAGAAUGUACGGCUUAUAACGGUGAAGCAAGAACGGUCUUUCCCGAAAAGGGUUUUCGAUUCUUGUAAUACCGUGGGAAGUUAAAGGAUAUAAUUAAAAUUGUGAAUCUCGCAAAAAAUUCCUUUAACCCUGUAACGACUUGGCCGCGUAUUGCGGCCGGAAUCGGAAUAUAUGAUGUGAUUAUAUUCUGAUUAAUACGCCGUCCCCCGACCACGGUCGGGGUGAAGAUAUAGUCUAAUACAUCAAAAGUAUUGAACAGGCUGGUGAGGUUCGAGAGUCCAUAUCGACGACCUCGCUCGGCACCUUAAACAACGACAUUGGGGUGCUAUGACAGUAAUGUCAUACCAAAAAUAAAAUGAACCCGUACUGACUUAUAAC
rnacentral:rRNA from 1 species